AUGAGUGACAUUGAGGAUGGAAACUAUGAAGGGCGGGGGUCACGCUCCCCAUCUAAAUCGGAUCGUGGGAGUCCAGCUCGGGUCAGGUCGGAGAGCAGGUCCGGCACCCCGAGCCCAACCCGGGCCGCCAAACGCUCCGAGUCCAGAUCCCGCUCUCGGUCAAAAUCUAGGUCUCGUUCAAGGCGGCACUCAAACCGCCGCUAUAGCCGCUCACGCUCUCGGUCCUAUUCCCACCGGAGGAAGUCCCGCUCUCGUUCCUACAGCCAAGAAUACCGCCGCAGGAGGAGCCAGAGUACUUCCCCUGCAUCAAACCGGCGCCGUCACACUGGCAGCAGGAGCCAUGACUUGACAAAAGAAGCAUACAGUCAUGGCGGUGAUGCUGAUGUUAGGGUAUGUGGACCUUCUAACAUAUUGUGA
rnacentral:lncRNA from 1 species